UGUUAAAAUUUUCAUCUAUUUGUAUGGUUAAAAAUUGGUGUGACUGAUGGAAUAACCAGACAGUGAAACGUGGCGUGCCACAUUUAUAUCAUGCUGAUGUACAAAGACCAACUUUUAACACUAGAAGUGAAUGAAAUUUUUAACA
rfam:Gossypium arboreum cultivar AKA8401 contig_22_19, whole genome shotgun sequence.